rnacentral:rRNA from 1 species
UUCACCUACGGGAGGCAGCAGUGAGGAAUAUUGGUCAAUGGGAGAGAUCCUGAACCAGCCAAGCCGCGUGAGGGAAGACGGUCCUAUGGAUUGUAAACCUCUUUUGUCGGGGAGCAAAGAGAUCACGUGUGGUCAAAAGCGAGAGUACCCGAAGAAAAAGCAUCGGCUAACUCCGUGCCAGCAGCCGCGGUAAUACGGAGGAUGCGAGCGUUAUCCGGAUUUAUUGGGUUUA